GUAAUAAGAACAGUUAAAUACUGGAAUGAGUAAAAGAGAAAACUCUGGAACUUUAUUCUCUGGGGAUUUUUUAAAAACAGGGAAUCAAAGUAUCUAAGAUCUAAGCUAACACAGAAUGCACAGGACCUUCGUGGAAAUAUAAGUUAAGCUUUAUUAAAAGUUCCAAAAGAAGACAUAAAUAAAUGAAGAAACAUAGAUUUUCCAGGAAAAGGUGACUUAUCAUUUCAAUGAUGUCAAAUUGUCUCAAACUUCAUGUAUAAAGUCAAUGCGUUCCCAAUCAAAAUUCCAACAGGAUAUUUGAGAAACUCAAAGUGACUGUAAAACUUAUCUGGUUAGAGAGGUUUUUUUUCCCAGCGUGCACUAUGCUCCCUGUCUCCAUGCUUUGCUCCUGCCAGCCGCUCUACCUGGAAUGCCCUUCUGCCUUUUAUUCCCUCAGCUAACUUCAGUCACCUUCCAAGAUUCAGUUCAGGCUGCUUCUCUUCUAGAAAGCCUCCCUUGGACCUCUAGCUUGGGCUAAGGGAUGCAUCCUCCACAGCUUGAGUUUACACCCUGAUCUUGGCAUCAGGGUUAGCUAUUGUCUACCUACCUACCUACUACUAUCUAACCCUGAACUGUGGGCUUGUCAAAGGGCGGGGCUAGGUCAUUCAUCUCUGGAUACCCAAUACCUGGCACAGCCUGGCACAGGACAUGCUUAAUGAACUGGAGAACUUUCUUGUAAGGUAACACCCAGAUGACAACGCCUACGUACUGAGCACCUACCACGUGCAGCUCAGGGCUAGGUGCUCUAUAGACCUCUGACCUUCUCCACUGACCAGCAAGGUUGCAGUGUGACAGCCCCUAUCACAUGAGGCAGCCAAAGUUCAAAGUUGGUUACGCAGCUUGCCCCAGGCCACCAGGCUAAUAACGGGCGGGGCCACGUUUGGAACCUUGGCAGAGUUGGCUCCGAAGCUCUUUCCAGACCCCGCCCCGCUCCGCUCCCCACGUUCUCCUUCCUGCUGUGGAGCGCCUGCCACGUGCCGGUGCGCAGGAUGAUGGCGCACGAGACAGACCCAACCCCGGCCCCGCCUGCGCAGCGGCGGAAGAGGGCUGAAGCCCCAACCGGCGGAGAAACCAACAGGAGCCGGCACAAAAAGCACCGUGUAUGGGAGCCUGCCACGUUCCCAGUCUGAGCAUUCCAGAGCCGAGCCCGGGCGGUGGGCCAGCUGGACCCCUGCGUGUCGGGAGCUGCCUCUGACUUCCUCCUCACCAGGCGGCUGCAGUGGGAGCGGCGACUUGCACGCCGACAAGACCCUAGCCGCUCAGACCCCAGCCCCGCCCUCCGGACUAACUCCUCUCCAACCACCUGACUUGGUCCUGUCCUCCAAUCCUGCCUCUGUGCUGAGGUCUCCACCCACCUGCGAGAGCCAAUCAAACAGGGCUUAAUUAGUCCCUGGUAACUGAUGAGCACACCGGACGUCAAUUCCCCCCUACAAACGAUAGCCUCCUUCUCCAGCAAGUACCAAAGACUGCUGCCAUGUCCUGCCCGCCGUCUGCCGAACAAGGUGGCGUAUCGAUCCAGGACCCUUUGUGUAAGAUUCCCCAGUCCAAUAAACAAUUGAUGUCUCUGUCACUGUCUCUGGGCUCUUUGUUCGUCUCGAGGCUGGACAACUAUAAGGCUUGGAGGACUGCGGGGUAUAGCCCAACACCCGGGCUGCACAGAGGACCACAAGGCCUCUUCCUCCCUCCACUAUGGACCAAGAUCCCACACCUGUCCAGAGUGAGGCAACAGCAGAUGGAGGGGUGAGGUCAGCAAGCUGCAUCAUGCCGACACAAUGCAGAGGCAUGUGAGUCAGCCCCGGGAUUUCUUAAAUGCCUCUGAGCCUGUCUUCUAGGAAUCUACCCAGUUAAUCCCCACAAUAACCAAAACACAGGCAAGUCUUUCCAGUUUUUGCCUCUGAAGAUCCUCUUAUCCCCGCCCACUUCUCCUGCUCCCCCGUCACCAUCCUUUUCAGCCUUUAUUCUGUAUCAGCCUCUCUACUCAACUCCCAGCACCCACUCCAAGCGGCUCCCCCAGCAGCCAGAGCAACCUGGUAACAGCUAAUUCAUC